rnacentral:rRNA from 1 species
AGUGAACGCUGGCGGUAGGCCUAACACAUGCAAGUCGAACGGCAGCACAGUAAGAGCUUGCUCUUACGGGUGGCGAGUGGCGGACGGGUGAGGAAUACAUCGGAAUCUACUUUUUCGUGGGGGAUAACGUAGGGAAACUUACGCUAAUACCGCAUACGACCUACGGGUGAAAGCAGGGGAUCCUCGGACCUUGCGCGAUUGAAUGGGCCGAUGUCGGAUUAGCUAGUUGGCGGGGUAAAGGCCCACCAAGGCGACGAUCCGUAGCUGGUCUGAGAGGGUGAUCAGCCACACUGGAACUGAGACACGGUCCAGACUCCUACGGGAGGCAGCAGUGGGGAAUAUUGGACAAUGGGCGCAAGCCUGAUCCAGCCAUACCGCGUGGGUGAAGAAGGCCUUCGGGUUGUAAAGCCCUUUUGUUGGGAAAGAAAAGCAGCAGGUUAAUACCCCGCUGUUCUGACGGUACCCAAAGAAUAAGCACCGGCUAACUUCGUG